rnacentral:rRNA from 1 species
GUGCAGCAGGCGCGAAAACUUCGCACUGGGGGAAACCCCGACGAGGGAAUUCCAAGUGCUAGCACUUUGUGUUAGCUGUUCUUCUGUCUAAAAAACAGGAGAAGUAAGGGGCGGGUAAGACGGGUGCCAGCCGCCGCGGUAAUACCCGCGCCCCGAGUGGUGGUCGAUAUUAUUGAGCCUAAAACGUCCGUAGCCGGUCUUCUAAAUCCUUGGGUAAAUCGGGCAGCUUAACUGUCCGAAUUCCGGGGAGACUGGGAGACUUGGGACCGGGAGAGGUCAGAGGUACUUCUGGGGUAGGGGUAAAAUCCUGUAAUCCUGGAAGGACCACCGGUGGCGAAGGCGUCUGACUAGAACGGAUCCGACGGUGAGGGACGAAGCCCUGGGGCGCAAACGGGAUUAGAUACCCCGGUAGUCCAGGGUGUAAACGCUGCGGGCUUGGUGUUGGGGGUCCUUAGUGGGCGCCCAGUGCCGGAGAGAAGUUGUUAAGCCUGCUGCUUGGGGAGUAUGUCCGCAAGGAUGAAACUUAAAGGAAUUGGCGGGGGAGCAC